ACUGUCUCUCUAGAUCAAGCAUGUCAAACUCAGCGCCCGCGGGCCGCAGGUGGCCCACAAUGAAUGUUUUUGCGCCCAGCCAAUAUAACAGUAUGUAAGAAACAUUUUAAUAAAAAUUUUAUAACUUAA